AUACGGAGGAUCCGAGCGUUAUCCGGAUUUAUUGGGUUUAAAGGGUGCGCAGGCGGCCAUUUAAGUCAGCGGUUAAAUCGUGGGGCUCAACCCCAUUCUGCCGUUGAUACUGGGUGGCUUGAUUGCGGUCGAGGUUGGCGGAAUUCGUUGUGUAACGGUGAAAUGCAUAGAUAUGACGAAGAACACCGAUUGCGUAGGCAGCUGACCAGACCGCAAAUGACGCUCAUGCACGAAAGUGCGGGGAUCGAACAGGAUUAGAUACCCUGGUAGUCCGCACAGUAAACGAUGAAUACUUGUUUUCGGCGAUAUAAUGUCGGAGGCAAAGCGAAAGCGAUAAGUAUUCCACCUGGGGAGUACGCCGGCAACGGUGAAACUCAAAUGAAUUGACGGGG
rnacentral:rRNA from 1 species